rnacentral:lncRNA from 1 species
GGAAGACUUAGAUGGAAAAACAUGUGAAAUAGUUCAUUAACAAUUUUGACAUAAAUUACAUAGCAAGAUGGUAAUACUUUGGAAAUAAAGGGUAUAUUCCUAAAUACAUGACAUCUAAUGUUAGAAGUAUUUGGACAUAUUAUGUAAUUUAUUUUCACCUUUGUACAUUUUUAAUGUGACAAUUAGAAAAUAUAAAAGUGUGCGUGUGGCUCACACUUACAUACUGGGAAGUUGAAAUUUUUCUCAAAGACUUUAGUUACUACUUAGGCUAGAAAAAAAAAUUUAAAUUCAACAAGCAUUAGAAAUAUCUAAUGCAGUGCUGGUUCCCAGUAAAAGUAUGUGUGUGGCUCACAUUGUAAGUGUGAUUCACACAAAUAUAAAAGUGGACGUGUGGCUCACAUUGUAAAUGUGGCUCACACUUAGAGGUUAGAAACUCAGAUGACCACAGGGGUCCCGCAGGUACAAUGUCCAAUGCCUGGAAGCUCAGAUGCUCCCAGCUCUUCCUGUAACACUCUCUUCCUGGGGAGAGUUGCUGCUUGUGUGAGCCCUGUGGAAUCUUCUUGCCUGUGCCCCCAGGUUUCCUUGUAUUUGUCCUAAAUGCACUGCUGGACUCCGAUACCAAGAGGAUCACUGAGUUCUGGGGCAACCCAGGCCCUGCUUCCCAUGUGAGUCACUACUCUCCAGACCCCAGCCUCCCCCUCCUCUGCAUCACUGCCCCUGAACUGGACCCUCGCCAAACUAGGCAGUGUUGUCCUGGACAGUAGAGACCAUUUGGAUCUUUUUGCAUCCUGAUCCCUUUUCCUUUCCAAAAGAAGAGAUCAAAAUCGUGUCCUUGUCAUCUGCCCCCAAUUACCCUAUAUUCCCCCAUCUCCUUCUGCCCUAUAAAGGCUUUGAAGCAUCUAAACCUGGCUGGGCUGUUAAGUAACUGUACUCCCCAUGCUCUCCAAGCACGUUCAGGAAAGAAAUAUGCCUUUUUC